rnacentral:rRNA from 1 species
AUUAGAUACCCUAUUAUUUUUAUUGUAAAAAAAAAUUAAGUCAGAGUAUUAUUUGUUAUAGUCUUGAAACUUAAAGAAUUUGGCGGUAUUAUAGUCUAUUUAGAGGAAUCUGUUAUGUAAUCGAUAAUCCACGUAGAACCUUACUUAUAUUAAUUUUUGUAUACCACUGUUUGAGAAUAUACUUUUAGGUAAAUUUUCAAAAUAUAAAAAUAAAUAAUAUUUCAAGUCAAGGUGCAGUCAUAUAUAAGUUGAAUAAUGGAUUACAAUAAAUUUUAUUUAUUAUGAAUUGUUAUUGUAAAGUAAUUUGAAAGUGGAUUUAAUUGUAAUUUUAUAAAGAUUGUUAAAAUGAUUUUAGCUCUAUAAUAUGUACACAUCGCCCG